GUUACUUUAAUUGAGAAUUUGGUUGUUGUUGUUACUUUAGACCUUUACUGACCUACAUUUCAGAAGGAAAUAUUGUACACUACAUUUAUCUGAGAAUGACACAGUGGUAAAAGAAGUAUUUAAAUCUUUUAUAUAAAUCAAAUUAAAACAUUUAUUAGGAUUCCAGCAUGCUUGAAGGCAUUUUAAUGCUGCUUUGAAGUCAUUCUUGAUUCAUUACGGUUGUAAAAUCAUAAAACUACAAUUCCCAGAAUGCAACGGGCGUAUUUUAAUCCAACCAUUGCACUGUUCCGGGUUGACCAUGUACUGCCAUCGUCCGGCUGUCGUAGUAAAUGCAAGAAAACGUGUCCAUCGACACACAUAACCAUGCACGCAGCUCAUACCGGACCAGCACCAACAGAAAUGUAGAGAUGGAUUAGAAAAUUAUGUGCCUCGACUGUCAUCAUCAACAUGUUCCCGGGAGUUUUCUAUGCACUGCUGGCAGGUUUCCUCGGGGCCGUGGCCUCGUCUUCGGCCAAACUAUCCCUGGGAGCCGACUAUCUGAAGGGAGUCUGUGAAACCGGACUCCGGACGUGGGGCGAGCAGCGGAAAUUUAGACAAGCGGACGAAACAACUGCCUGUGACCGGCUCCAUAUUCCUCUGAGGCUGCUGUGUGGUGGCCUGCUUUUCACCUGCAAUGCUGUGAUGUGGACCUUCCUUGCAAAAGCACUCAGGUACUUUUCUUCCUCCACCCGCACCACUGUGACCACCACCGCCUCCAACUUCAUAUCUUCUGCGUUCCUGGGCCAGUUGAUUUUUGGUGAAGCCCAGAUAACGCUGUGGUGGGUUGGCAUCUCUCUGACCUUCUCUGGCCUGCUGGUACUCCAGAGGGUUUCACCACAGGAUAGGCAACCGAAUGCGGUCACAAGGAAGGACAAAUAAUAUGUCUUGUCUCCACUAGGUCAGGUCAGCAAGGCUCCAUAGGGUGUGGUUUGGUUGGCGUCUCCUCUGAUUUUACUUCUCACCAAAGAAAACUGAAAUCUUAAAAGUGUAUUUGGUAGAACUUAUUUUACAAAAGUAUUGAAUUCUCUUUCUGCACUACGGCAAAAGAACCAAUGUUGUUGAUUAGACUAAAUAAUUUGGAAACUGUGACCAUUCAUCCUUCAGUUUUAUGCUUGUGCAAACUGUGAAACCUGAUUGACUCAGCCUUGUUCUAAAAUCAGAGGGCAUGUCGGCCGGUACAGUCUGACUAGUGGAGACAAGCUAAUGAUGCCUACGUCCAGAUUCGUAGAUGCUCAAAAGUCAUUUAUGCCUAUAGGCUUUCAAUGAAGCAAAAAUGAUACUAGCUUUACUUUAUGUUUGGGGAAGAUGUUUAAUCAACAACAGCACAGCUCAUGAGCGAACAAAACAGAUGAAGGAAGGGAAGACACAAAAAAAGAGUUUGGGAAAUAUGCUCAUUUGCUUCGUUGCUGAGAGUUCGAUGAGAACAUCAAUACCAGUCUCAUGUCUGGAGGGUAAAUUUGAAGUAAAUGUCAUGUUUGAGCCAGUAUCUGUUAGCACAGUGUAAACAGUUAUCCUGGGUCUGUCAGAAGGAAACAAACUCCACCUAUAAACAAAUCCAAAUGUCACUAAUGAACACAUUAUAUCUUUUUUCAGAAUCUGCAGAAAAACAAAAAUGUAAAAUGACAAUUUGUGAUUUAAGAGGGGUGUUUCUUUGACACUUUGGCCUCCAACAACAAGUCUCUGAGAAGUCAUUAUUCUGGACCUAGAAAAAUAUAACAUCCCGUAAGACCACUAUUUAUCGUUUUUAUUCUUUGGCUUUCCCAGCUCGUUGUGCUAAGCUAACGAGCUACUGACUGUAGCUUCAUAUUUAGUGUACAGACAUGAGAGUAAGAUCAGUCUUCUCAUUUAACACUACACAGGAAAACGAAGAAGCUUAUUUCCCAAAAUGUCAACUUGCUCCUUUUGGGCUAUGUUCAAAAGUAAUGGACAAAUAGAAUCAUUUGACAUGUGUGUGGUUUUAUCAUAAUCAACCUGUGUUGUUGUCAUGUAUUGCAGGUCAAAGCUUUUGUAAUUUUCACAUUCCUUAAAGGUAGGGUUGGCAAUCCUGGAAAAACCAGUAAGAGGAAGGUCAAUUUUUAAAGUAGUCAGUCCUAUCUAUACAGUUAGAGCUGACUACUGUUGGUGUUUUCCCCACCCAUGGCUGCAUGUAAAAGGAGUCUGUUCCAUCCGGCGGUCUUCUCGCUCUCAUAUUACAUGCAUGUAGCAACUUCUGGCAUGAACAACAAUAUUACCUAUAAGGCUGUAUGUCCUAAAGGGGAAGACCUGCUGCCACACAUGACAGAUUUUAUUCUUUAUGUUGUCAGUGCAUUGCAAGUGGGAUGAAAUGAGAAUUUCAAGAUAAGCAACAAAAAAAUGCUUCUGAAAAGAAUCGCCAACCCUACAUUUAAGUUGCUCUGACACCCAUUGCAUUUUCUGUAUGCACAAGGCAAUGUUAUAAGUACAACAUUUAGCUAAUGAGGUGCACUUCCACUAGUAAUAAUCCUACUAAUGUAGCGCUGAAAGGCUCAUGCCUAAUAAGAAGUUGCUCUCUGUCUGGGUUUUUCUUUUUCUUUAUUGCUGAAACCUUAACCUCAAGAUCUGAGCAUGACACAGUUUGAGUCAUAGGCAGUUGGUCUUCCAUUUCAUGAUAGAUGUGUACGUGCUCUUACCAAGGUCUUGAACUCAAAUAUCUCACACCAGAGCAUCCUGGAGCACCAUUUCACCUCAGAGUGAUGUCCCUGUGAGCUGCUUCAUUUUAUUAAACUUGUGGCCAAAUUGUCUUUCCAGUAUCAGAGACAUCAUGCAGCCUGAUUGCCUGUUGACCUGGAUGUGCCCUGCAUUUGCAAUCUCAUAUUAAUCUCUCACCUCUUGGGGUUUCAUAGACACCUGGCUUCAUUACAAGCUUCCUUUUACUUCCCAGGAGUUGUCAGCCAGAGUGCAAUAAAGUUAUACUUCCUCUAUAUUUCAUAACACUGUGAUAUGUGUAACAGCAUGGGAAUUUGAAGCAUUAAUAACUGAGCAAAAAAAAAAAAAAACUGGCAAUAAAUGCUACUAAAGGGACAUUUCUGUUGCCAUAAAUCAGAUGAGUAAAUAUGCUGUAGUAUACAGGGACAUGGCUGAGCAUAAUAUUAAAGGCUGCUUUAUAGAACAGAUUACAUUCUGCUGUUGUUAUGGUACAUAUCCUAAUAAAAAUGCAUAAUGGUAGCUGUGGCACCUGUCUGUAAUAUCACACAGCAGCAACACAAAGAUACUCUAGACGUCAUUCCAGCUGCUGCUGCUGCUGCUGUGCAGGUUUGGCAUCAUGUAAUUAUAUGCAUCCCUGUCAAUGUGACUGCAGUGACAAUGUGAUCUUAAGGCUUUCAUAUUAAAGGUUGGCUUAGGCAUGUUUUACAGCAGGGCUGAACUCACCAUGCAGGGCUUUUCACCACUCGCAUCCAUGCGCAUGCAGAGACAGCAGAAGUGAUUUCACUUGUUUUUGCUGCCAUGUUUUGGGCUCUUGGGUGUGUUGCAUUACAUGAAAGAAUAGUUUGACAUUCUGGGAAAAAAACCAUAUUAGCUUUCUUGCCAAGAUUUGGAUAACACCCCAUGGUGAGCUAAGCUAAUCGACUCUGGCUCCAGAUACAAAUGCAUACUCAGAGGUAUGAGAAUGGUAUCGAUCUCUUUGAGCUCUCAACAAGAAAAUUAAUACAUGCACUUUCAAAAUAUGUUAAAGAAAACUUUAAUAUCUGUAAUGUUUGCUUUUGAUUCUAAAAAUAUUUUAGUGCCUGGCUUUUUUCCACUUAACAGCCUGAUAUGAGGGUAAACCAUCUAUUUGUGAACCCACUCUCACUGUAACAUAACCAGUCAGAGCUUUUGCAGUGGCUGCAUUUCUAGCUCUGAGACAGCAGCAUGCCGUGUGCACACAAACUGUAGAUGUGGUUGUACAGAGAUUAGAAAACCACUGAAAUAUAGUCUUGACAAGGUCUGUCACACUGCACACUGACAAGUCAAUGUGCUGCAAUGGAAAAACAAAAGUAUCAGGAAUCAUUACAUUUUAGAACUCUAAAUAUGAAUGUGUGCUGUUGUUAAUUUGCUGGUGCUCUGUAACCUCAGUCCAGAGGCUGCUGUACUGACAAAAUUCACAUUGUGUUCAAUGUUCUAACCAAAUCAAGAGUGUGAUUAGAAGGAGAGACUCUGCCCUGAUAUAAACCAUACAUGUCUUUCAGAUGAUGUGAAACAAACAUUUGUAAAUGUGUAAAUAUAUUCUGUUAACAGGAAACACCUAAAGGGAUGUGUCAUCUCCACUGAGAGAAGAAACACUACUAAAUUAUGAAAUAAACAUCUCAUCUGAUGAACAAGAGUCUCUUGUCUUCAUCCCUCA